UCAAAAAAGUAAACUAAAGGUGUGGCAUUUUUCUCUCUCUAUUCGACAGAGAUCCCUAAUUCUUCUCCACAGUCAUAGUGAACCAAAGUCAUGUUCAUAUUCCUAACCUCUUCGUCGUUCUUUCAAACUGCCGUCGUCAGGACCUUCCUUCGCCAUUGUUUCCGGACACUACGAAGCCGAACAUAAAACAAAGACCACUCUUGUGUUUCGUCAGGCCGUCGCGGGCUUCGUUUAUUUCUAGGGAACCUUAGUUUCAAUCAGCUGACAUCCUUUGGUGUAGAGCUGGAAAAUUUGAUAAGAGUUCAAAUUUUGUGAGACUGCCCUUUACAAGGCUUUGGACAAUUCCUUCAAUGAAUUCUGGUUUAGUCUUUUAAACUCAUAAUAAUAUGUUAGCCUAGUCUUUCAUGCAUCCUGGUUUAGUCUUUUAAACUUUAUUAUUAUGUUUGAUUUUAAAGUGUAAUAAUCGGUCUUUUUCAAGGAUGUUUAAUUUUUAGAUUUUGUUGCUUACGUUUUCUAUUUCCAUUUUGUCCUAUAUUUUUCUUUUCUUUUUGUUUUUUUCCUUGGUUUCUUUGUUUGCUGGAUGUUCACGAUGCAGAAAAAUAAUAAGAGUGGACUUGAAAGGCUUGAUAGAGAGAGGCAGGAUGACUUCUUAAACAUGUUGAAAGAAUUUUUAGUUAAUCAGGUAGUCUGAAACAACUUCAUAUGUCCAAAUUAUAGUCUUCAUUAGAGCAUUUAAGUUUAUUAACUUAUUUAUGUUUCUAGCAUGGUUCGCUCAUGAGAGGUGUUUUCUGCUUUUUUGGGUUUUAAGUGUAUUGUUGUGUUCUUGUUAUGGGCCAUUGUUAGCCUAUCUAUUAGUUCUUGUCUUGUAGUAGUUUUGUUGUAAAGAGAGGGGGGAAUUUUUUGUUUUCAUUGUGUGUUUGGACGAUUUUUUUUCUAAUAGUGUGGUGAAGUGUAAUUGUUUUGUUCCUAUCCAGACACAUUUUGUUCUUGAAUUUAUAAUUUAUUAUAUUAUUUGGAUGUUAAAAAAACUUAUUUAUCACAAUACUCAAUUUGAAGAAUCUCAUGUACAAGUUCAAGGCGAACAUUGAACAAGUUAAUGUGUCUAUAGUAAUUUCCAUGAAUUCGAAGCUGUAGUUUCCAUUAAUUG